rnacentral:rRNA from 1 species
GUCUAUGGCCAUACCACCCUGAACACACCCGAUCUCCUCUGAUCUUGGAAACUAAGCAAGGUUGGGCCUGGUUAGUACUUGGAAGGGAGACUGAAUUAUCUUCAUGAUUUCCUCAGGUA